rnacentral:rRNA from 1 species
UACGUAGGGGGCGAGCGUUGUCCGGAAUCAUUGGGCGUAAAGAGCGUGUAGGCGGCCCGGUCAGUCUGGUGUGAAAUCUUGAGGCUCAACCUCAAGCUGUCAUCGGAUACUGCCGGGCUAGAAUCCGGAAGAGGAGAGUGGAAUUCCUGGUGUAGCGGUGGAAUGCGCAGAUAUCAGGAGGAACAUCCGUGGCGAAGGCGGCUCUCUGGUACGGUAUUGACGCUGAGACGCGAAAGCGUGGGAGCGAACAGG